rnacentral:lncRNA from 1 species
UGAGUGUUAGUUUUAAGUAGACUAUUGACAAAUUACAGAUUUUUUUCACGUAUUGAAAUUAUAUUCCAGAUGAUUUUGAGAUUUACUGGUAUAAUAUUCGCCUCAUGAGGUAGGAUGGAAGGGAAGAAAUAGAGAAAAAAUGUUCUGCUCUGAAAUAAAUGUGGUGUUUCCUGACAGCAUUUGUCAAGAAGGAAAGGUCGAAAAUAAAGCACUGAUGGAAAUACAUGAUAAAUAAGAGAUGGGGUUUCACCAUGUAGCCCCGGCUGGUCUUGAGCUCAUGAGCUCAAGCGAUUCACCUGCCUCAGCCUCCCAAAGUGCUGGGAUUACAAGUGUGAGCCACCAUUCCUGCCUCUAUACCUCUAAAGGUGUUGAAUAAUUUGAAUGGGAAUUUGAAGGUCCAUGGCUUCCAAACCAGCAGGAGUUAAGGCUUAAUUGCUUGGAAAUACAUUUUCAUGGCUGAUACCAGUAACAGAAAAAUGUCUGUAUGUCAAGAGGCUCUGUACUAAUCAGUUAACCAUAACAUGUGCCACCCCAUACCUUGGGCCAAUGUAACUGUUAACAGCUUGAAGCUAUUAAAAAUGUACCAAUGGA